AAAAACCCUAAGCUAAGUCCCUUACUUUGACUCUUAGCACCUCCAUCUCCCUCAGCCUCACGGAGUCACGAUUUACCCUCACUGGACUCCUCGUCGCCACUCCAAUCAUGCACGACAGAAACCCAAAUCACGUACGUCAGGAUUCUCCUCGCCACCACUCCACCAGCGUCGUCUGCCACCGUCUGCCACCAGCACCUCUCCCUCCAGCCGGAAUCUUUGGUUCCCAAUUUCGUUCACUUUCAGUUCCAACCGCCGUCUGAUCUAUUUGAUUGUCAGAUCUAUUCACAAUUUUGGUGAUUUCGCUCACUCACACCCUCAAAUCUAUUAGUUCUCAAUUCCUUCACUUCAAGCCCAGUUGUCAUCGUCUUCUUCUAUCUAAGGUGAAAAUGACUUUAUCGAAUAAUAAUGAGUUAGAACAAGGCGGUUCAACUCCAAUAUCUAUGAACAUGAGUGAAUCAACCCCAAUGAAUAGUGUUUCAAGUGAUAAUAAUCAAUAUGCACUUAUAGCAUUCGAUAGUGAUGAUAAUGAGGAUUUUCCAAAACGUAAUAGGUUGACAUCGGUAGUAUGAAACCAUUAUAAAAGACAAAAAAUAAAUGAUACCAUGAAAGCAAUAUGCAAUUAUUGUGGAAAAAAGUUGGGAGGAGAAUCUAAAAAUGGGACAAAACAUUUCCAUGAUCAUUUCAAAAUUUGUCCCUUACGAAGACAAAGAGAUAUUAGGCAAUCAUGUUUGAGACCCACUAAAAUCAAUGAGGGGAAAAUAGUGCUAAGCCCAACUCUUUUUUAUUACGAAGCUUCUCAAAGAGACCUUUCUUGUGCUAUAAUUUCACAUGAAUAUCCUAUAAACAUGGUUGAACACAAAGGAUUUAGAAAGUUUUUGAGUGGUGUUCAACCGAUGUUUAAGAUGAUUUCAAGAACCACGAUAAGGAGAGAUAUAAUAAAAAUUUAUGAAGAAGAGAGAAUUAAAACAAUGAAGUUUAUGAAAAACAAUAGAAGCAUGGUUGCCCUUACUAGAGACGUGGACUGCAACUAGCCAGACGAAGGGAUACAUGGCAAUCACUGCUCAUUUUAUUGAUGAUUCUUAGAUCCUACAAAGCAGAAUUUUGACGUAUUUUAGAUCUUUUAUAUUAUUAUUUAUUUUUUAUUUGGUUUCACAUGUAGUUUACAUUUUAACACAUUAUUACAUAAUACUAGGUUUGUACAUGUGUCACAUCCACAUACUGGACAGUUACUUUCUGAAGCAUUAAUGGAGUGUAUAUUCGAUUGGAA